rnacentral:tRNA from 2 species
UGGGAGAUCGUCUAAUGGUAGGACGUCAGGUUCUGGCCCUGAUAAUCCUGGUUCGAAUCCAGGUCUCCCAGCAA